rnacentral:lncRNA from 1 species
ACAGAGUGUAGCAUAUGUUUGUCAGAAAAUUUGUGUCCUUUACAAUGAUAAUAAAGCUAACUAUUUAUAGCUACACCUAGGGAACAAGGUUCUAGAAUCAAGCCCCUCUUUAAUGACAAUUAUGAGAGCCAUUGAAGAAUGUGUAACCGUAGGCAGUGAAUGACAUAUUCUGUGUAACGGACCACAUACUUAAUGCUAUAGAAUAUUUUUCAUUAAAUGCUAGCGGGUGGUAGGCAUUUAUGUCACCUUUAUGAAUAUCAUUCUUUUCGGUAACAGACGAGAUCGUUGCGUUUGGAUCCGACUGUCUUCUGUCUUCGGUUUCACGCGUCACUUUCUCAUGCGAUCAUUUAAUAUAAACAUAUUUUAUCCUAUACAAAUAGUCCCCCUGCUUUCCAGUAGCAUAACUUUGUGUCACCGGAAAGUUGGUAUAAAUACCUCUUUCGGAGGGAAAUUCUCUGAUCCCAUCUGAAAAUAUUUAGGAGUUAACCUUUUUUUUCCUUUCAUUCCAAAUCAAUCGUUCUCAUCUCCUCUUAGAACGUUCAAUUUCUCCUAGCCAUCUUUCUAUUAAUAAAAAAUAACUCCAAUAUCAUAUGGCGUGUUAAUGACAGAUUCGGGUAGAUUAAAUAAAAGCAAUUAUUCUUUGAAUAUAAAUUUUGUACACUUACAGUAUAUAAUUAUUUUAGGCCAUUCGAUUAAGUUGAGCUACAAUACCGGAGUAUAUGGUAACCUAGAGAAUAGAGUAAUUAUAAUCUGUUAUAGCCCGUUAAAUUUCAUUGAUAACAUAAAAUAUUAAUUUAACUUAAAUCUAUAUUCUUAUAUAUAUAUAUAUAGAUCUUAUCUUAAGAGGAGAGUAAAGCAUUAAAGAAAGAAAUGGAAGACGUGACUUAAACGCUAUGGAGUCUAACAUCCAAAUUUGCAUAAAGCCUGCAGGGAAAUUUAAGUCAAAUGUCAAGUAAUUAAAGCAUGAAAGCUAUGGCAAAACCCUAGUCUCAACUACUUCCUUCUUAUUCUUCUGCAUAUUAAUACAUAAUAUUUCAUGACCUCUCAUAGUCUCAGAGUACUGAAAAGAGAAGCAUUUAAGGGGUUGUCAGAUAGAAACAGAAAAAGCCUUAUUCUUAGGCUUCAAAGGGGAACUAUAUCAUUGAAAUCUAACUGGAAAAAAGAAAAAGAAAUUGAAAAAAAGUUAUUGAAACCUAACAAUUUUUUUUAAUUUAUAUAUGCAUAUGAUAUUUGAACCAGUUUCUUGCACAAAUGCAUGGUUCGAUCUUUUCUCGGAACUCGUACAUAACGAGAACUUAGCGCAUCGGGCUGCCCUUUAUAUGAUAUUUGAAACUCAUAGACCUAAAAAAUUCAUAUUCACAUCGCGUAGGAUCACUAAAAGAAGUGUUUCCUAUUAAGAUAUGAACUUGAGACAUCGAUUAAGAAUAAAAAAUUUUCUUCCUUUCCGAUUGCACUUAUUGGUGGUGAAACCUAACAAAGAAAAAUGACUAAGACAAUGACCUAACUAUUAACAAAUUCACACUCACAUAAAUAAGUGCUUUCCAUGAGAUCCGAACCCGGGAUAUCUGAUUAAAAAUGUGAAACUGCAAAGGAAUGAAUAACCACUUGAAAUUGUUUGAAAAGAAUCUUAUAAUUAGAGCUCAAAAUGGUGUUUAAAAGUGCUCAUUUGUAUUAUUACUACUAACAUAGUAACUACACCGAGAAAAACUAUGGAACACAUAGAAAUCCUCGUGUUCCUCUUUUCAAAGAGUUUUUUUUUAAUUUGACAGUUUCAAAGUGUUAAGCUCUAACCUCAUGUCACCAAACAAAUUACUAUUUCUUAAAUCAACUUCAAAGAAUGGUUAUUAGGAUUCCUAUUCUUAAAAAAAAAAUUGUUUGAAAAAAUAUAGUUUUCAAUUGGCUCAAUCGAUUUAGUCAAUAAUUAAAAGAUCCAACCUAAGCAACUUAAUAAUUUUUGACUUACAUAUAUACCCAAUAUAAGUUUCUAUAUAUAGUAUAGUUUUUCGAUGAAGGGUGUCCAGUUGACUACCCUUCAAUCACUACAAAAAUAAAUUGAAAUUAGCUACGAAUGUAGUCGCUAAUUUAUCGCUAAAACGCUCGUAGCUAGCAGAAUUUCUUGAUAAUUCGUCGCUAAAAAUGAGAUUAGCGACAAAUAUUUCUGUUUAGCUACAGAAUUUUCUUGUCGCUAAAAUCUGAUUUUUUACUAGUGAAUGUAUGUCGCUACGUUACUGAGUACACCUAAUUACACACCGGUUAAUGUAAGAACUAGUAUAAGUAAAGGAUCAAAAGGAAGUGUACAUGGCAUGAAGAGAUAUCAUGAUAUUGUCCAGAAUGCAGAAGAUGAAUUGAUUUGUCAAGUGGUUAUGAUUAUGCAAGGAAGUCAAGUGAGACUGCUACAAUGGAAAAAUUAUACUUAAUUAAAUUAAAAGAUUUGACUUAUAUAUAUAUAUAUAUAUAUAUAUGAUCAUAAAGAACUCAGUAGAGAAAGUAAUUACCUGAAAAUUGUGAGUGAAAUUUGUGAAGAGAAGAUAGCAAAAAGCAAGAAGAAGCCAUAGAACUCAGGAUGGAUAGCGCCAAAGUAAUUGAUAGUUUUAUGGGAAAGAACCAAAUUCAGAAGAAAAUAAAAACAAAACGAAAGAUUCAAAAAUAAAAAACCAACAUAUAUCACAUCAUUUUCAUUGGUGCUAUCCCUCCUGAGCUUUACAGAUUCCUCCAUACUUUAUAUAAAUAUGUAUUUUUUAUUCAUGUAUUCAUUUAGCUCCGGCUAAAAAUACGUGGAUCUAGAGAACCUGGUUCGGAAAUAACUUCUUAUUAGCAGGAGCUAAUCACAGUAAGAGAAUCCAUCCUCUGAAAUAGAAGUUUUU